rnacentral:RNase_P_RNA from 1 species
GAAGCUGACCAGACAGUCGCCGCUUCGUCGUCGUCCUCUUCGGGGAGACGGGCGGAGGGGAGGAAAGUCCGGGCUCCAUAGGGCAAGGUGCCAGGUAACGCCUGGGGGUGUAACAACCCACGACCAGUGCAACAGAGAGCAAACCGCCGAUGGCCCACGCAAGUGGGAUCAGGUAAGGGUGAAAGGGUGCGGUAAGAGCGCACCGCGCGGCUGGCAACAGUCCGUGGCACGGUAAACUCCACCCGGAGCAAGGCCAAAUAGGGGUUCAUAAGGUACGGCCCGUACUGAACCCGGGUAGGCUGCUUGAGCCAGUGAGCGAUUGCUGGCCUAGAUGAAUGACUGUCCACGACAGAACCCGGCUUAUCGGUCAGUUUCACUU